GAAUCAGCACGUCGGUCGUGCCUUCGGUAUGUACUGGCGUUGCUGGUUUCUCCCUUCUGAUGAGCCGUGAUGCCAUUAAUUUGGUGUUAUGAGGAGUCAGGACUGUUACUUUGAAAAAUUGGUGUUUAAAGCAGAUGAAUACAUUAACAUGGAAUAACGAAAUAGGAUGUUCAAUCUUAUUUCGUUGGUUCCUAGGAUCAACGUA
rnacentral:rRNA from 1 species